AGGGUUCUGUAGGGUACGAUAGGGUUCUAUGGGGUCCUAUGGGAUCCUAUAGGGUCCUAUGGGGUUCCGUGGGGUUCUAUGGGGUUCUGUGAGGUCCGAUAGGGCCUAUGGGGUGCUAUGGGGGUCCUAUAGGUGUCCUAAGGGCUCUUAUAGGGUUCUGUGGGGUUGUGGCGCUCCUAUGGGAUCCUAUGGGGUUCUGUGGGCUUCUAUGGGGUCCUAUGGGAUCCUAUAGGGUUCUGUGGGGUCCUAUGGGGUUCUGUGGGGUCUAUGGGGUCCUAUGGGGGUCCUUUAGGGGUCUAUGGGGUUCUAUAGGGGUCCUAUGGGGGUCUAUGGGGUUCUAUGGGGGUCCUAUAGGGGUCUACGAGGUUCUGUGGGAUCCUAUGGGAUCCUAUGGGAUCCUAUAGGGUUCUGUGGGGUCCUAUGGGGUCCUAUGGGGUUCUGUGGGGGUCCUAUAGGGUUCUGUGGGGUUCUAUGGGGUCCUAUGGGGGUCAAUGGGGUUCUGUGGGAUCCUAUAGGGUUCUGUGGGGUCCUAUGGGGUUCUGUGGGGGUCCUAUGGGGGUCUAUGGAGUCCUAUGGGGGUCCUAUAGGGGUCUAUGGGGUUCUGCGGGAUCCUAUAGAGGUCAAUGGGGUUCUGUGGGAUCCUAUAGGGGUCUAUGGGUUCCUCUGGGUGUCCUAUAGCGAUCAAUGGGAUUCGACGGCGUUUUGGGACCCCCCCGAAAUCCCCCCCGCCCCAAAAAGGG
ensembl:lncRNA